GAGAUGAGCCGCGCCGUGUUGUUAAUGAAAUACCCCGAGUGGAGCUGCCGGGGACCACACACGACGCUCGCCACAGCGAUACUGUAAGCACGACAUGGAAACGAUACGGAGACUGCUCGGAUGAAGCGGACACGACACGGGGACGACACGGAGACUCCACGGGUACAAGGACCACGACACGGAGUCUGCGCGGAUCCAGGCACCACGACACGGAGUCUGCGCGGAUACAGGCACCACGACACGGAGUCUGCGCGGAUACAGGGACUACGGCACGGAGACGACAGGGAUACGGACGCCAUCCUAGUAAAAGGGGGCAAACGAGCGGCGUGUACACCAA